CUCUCUCUCUCUCUCUCUCUCUCUCUCUCUCCUUGGAUGUUUAUCGUUUUAUUCAAGAGUAAAGAAGAAUGUGACUCGCUUCCUUGGUUGAUUGGAGUCUAACAUUUAAUCAUGUUGCUCGCGAUAGCAACAGAGAAGAUAUGUUUCAAUCUGUAGUUACUAAGCAAAUGGAUCUCCUUUACUAACAUAAGGAUGGGCAAUAACUUGGAAAAGUUCCAAGCAGGAGACGGUAGUUGAUUAAACUUGCGAAUCAGAGUACAUAACAGCAAGCGAGGCGGCGAAGGAGGCAAUAUGGUUGAAGAACUCCAUCGAAGAUCUUAGAGUUGUACCAGCUAUAAAGGAGCCUAUGGAGAUUUUCUGUGACAGCGAGAGUGCAGUUGCCUUAGCCAAGGAACCUAAGGAUCAUGGCAGAUCCAGGCACAUCGACAGAGAAUAACACUUCAUAAGACAUCGAAUAGAAGAAGGACUCCUCAUAGCAAAGAGGGUAUCGUCUGAGGAGAACCCAACAGAUCCCCUCACGAAAGGACUAAGUAGGGUUAAGCACUUACAGCAUGCGAGGCGUAUCGGGCUGAAUGACGAUAUUAGUUUUAAUGAUUAGAUUGUUUUGAAACUUGUAAUAGUUGAAAUGUAAUUGACAUUUGAUGAUUAAAUAAAAUGUGAUUUUUAUUUAUAA